AUUGAACGCUGGCGGCAUGCCUUACACAUGCAAGUCGAACGGCAGCACGGGUGCUUGCACCUGGUGGCGAGUGGCGAACGGGUGAGUAAUACAUCGGAACAUGUCCUGUAGUGGGGGAUAGCCCGGCGAAAGCCGGAUUAAUACCGCAUACGAUCUACGGAUGAAAGCGGGGGCCCUUCGGGCCUCGCGCUAUCGGGUUGGCCGAUGGCUGAUUAGCUAGUUGGUGGGGUAAAGGCCUACCAAGGCGACGAUCAGUAGCUGGUCUGAGAGGACGACCAGCCACACUGGGACUGAGACACGGCCCAGACGCCUACGGGAGGCAGCAGUGGGGAAUUUUGGACAAUGGGCGAAAGCCUGAUCCAGCAAUGCCGCGUGUGUGAAGAAGGCCUUCGGGUUGUAAAGCACUUUUGUCCGGAAAGAAAUCCUUGGCCCUAAUACGGUCGGGGGAUGACGGUACCGGAAGAAUAAGCACCGGCUAACUACGU
rnacentral:rRNA from 1 species